UACGGGGGGGGCAAGCGUUGUUCGGAAUUACUGGGCGUAAAGGGCCCGUAGGCGGCCAACUAAGUCAGACGUGAAAUCCCUCGGCUUAACCGGGGAACUGCGUCUGAUACUGGAUGGCUUGAGUUUGGGAGAGGGAUGCGGAAUUCCAGGUGUAGCGGUGGAAUGCGUAGAUAUCUGGAGGAACACCGGUGGCGAAGGCGGCAUCCUGGACCAACACUGACGCUGAGGAGCGAAAGCCAGGGGAGCAAACGGG
rnacentral:rRNA from 1 species